rnacentral:rRNA from 1 species
GAUGAACGCUAGCGGCAGGCCUAAUACAUGCAAGUCGAACGGGCGGUAGCAAUACCGCUAGUGGCGCACGGGUGCGUAACGCGUAACCAACCUGCCCAGAUCUGGGGGAUAGCCCGCCGAAAGGCGGAUUAAUACCGCAUAAACCCACAGUGUGGCAUCACAUAAUGGGUAAAGAUUUAUCGGAUCUGGAUGGGGUUGCGUAGCAUUAGCUAGUUGGCGGGGUAAUGGCCCACCAAGGCGACGAUGCUUAGGGGACCUGAGAGGGUGAUCCCCCACACUGGCACUGAGAUACGGCCCAGACUCCUACGCGAGGCAGCAGUCGGGAAUAUUGGGCAAUGGGCGAGAGCCUGACCCAGCCAUGCCGCGUGCCGGAUGAAGGCCUUCUGGGUUGUAAACGGCUUUUCUCAGGGAAGAAAACGGGGAUGCGUCCUCAACUGACGGUACCUGAGGAAUAAGCACCGGCUAACUCCGUG